AGGUGGCUAUGAUAAACUCAUUAAGAUUUGGGAUCUUCGUCAUACAUCGCAACCUGUAAUGUACUUCGAGAAAGGUUCGUUUCGUAUAUCUGUGUGCGUAUAAUUAAUUUAUAACCAGACAACUCAAAUUCAUGCGGCUAUUUCUGUGUGGGUAGAGUUUAGCCCUGUUUCUCACAUCUAGAUAACACAGCCUUCCAGAAAGUACGUCACUUGGCGGACACUGCGGAUCCGGGGGAGGGCGGGGCAACCGCCUCCCUCCAAUAAUUUCUGUUUAUAAAAUCUGAAAGCCUUUGAAUAAUAGCUGAAUAAUUGUGUAGCAAAGCUGAAACAAUCAUUUUUAGGCUACAAAUUAAGCUAUAUGUUGCAUGAAAUUUAAGGCAAGAAAAGUUUUAUUACACAACUAAGUCCUGGUUCAGACGUCGAAUUUUGCAUGUGUCCAAUCAAUUCGGCCAACCUCGUUCCCAGGGCCCUUUUUGAAAAUAUUUUCAAAAAAGGCCCUGGGAACAAGGUUGCAAUUCGGUUUGGACGUUGCCUGGAAUGGCGUAAAGCGCAAGACAUACAAGAAUCUCAUUUAUAAGAAUACUAAUUUAUAAGGCUAAAGUAGGCAAAAUUUAAAUAAUUUACUAAGAAUAUACCCAAGAUUAUUCAAAGAACACAGGUCAGGGGAAAGUAUGAAAGUAUAUGCUACUAUGCUGUGAUGAACUAUUGCAAACAACUCGAAAAGUAUCUUUUGGUAUUGUACGUCGUAAGAAUAUUUAAUUUAGGGUUAAAUUUGUCGGGAAAAUAAAAUAUCCAAAGAUUUAUCUUUUUCCAAAGUGGCAACAUGUGACAUUUCAAUAACAUUACAUGAAGUCUUUAAGAUUCGCCUAACCGAUUUAAAUUUGACACAUGCAAAAUGCGAUGUCUGAGACCACUUGGCACCGUACGGAAUAGCGUGUUAAUAGUGGUCUGGGUCGCAUCGUUUAAUUUUCUUAUCAUUAUCAUGAUCUGAUUAAGCAUUUUAUUCCCUUCCAGUGUGGAGUUACCGUCUUACUUGGCCAGUACAUUGGGGGUUAUUGGUCUACAAUACGGACGUGAUAUCUCGAAUAAAGAGCACACGUUGUUUGGAUUAUCAUUUUAGUUCUCCAAGUGAUAAAAACAUCCGCCACACUUCCUCCUGUUAUAUAACCCACAGUGCCACAGGAUGGGUAAGCAUACAUGCAUUACUAUUUGAAAAGGACCUCACCGCCCCCC